UACAGAGGGGGCAAGCGUUGUUCGGAAUUACUGGGCGUAAAGGGCGCGUAGGCGGUCUGUCGCGUCUGCUGUGAAAAUCCGGGGCUCAACCCCGGACUUGCAGUGGGUACGGGCAGACUAGAGUGUGGUAGGGGAGACUGGAAUUCCUGGUGUAGCGGUGAAAUGCGCAGAUAUCAGGAGGAACACCGAUGGCGAAGGCAGGUCUCUGGGCCACUACUGACGCUGAGAAGCGAAAGCAUGGGGAGCGAACAGG
rnacentral:rRNA from 1 species